rnacentral:rRNA from 1 species
UGCAAGUAGAACGCUGAAGAGAGGAGCUUGCUCUUCUUGGAUGAGUUGCGAACGGGUGAGUAACGCGUAGGUAACCUGCCUUGUAGCGGGGGAUAACUAUUGGAAACGAUAGCUAAUACCGCAUAACAAUGGAUGACACAUGUCAUUUAUUUGAAAGGGGCAAUUGCUCCACUACAAGAUGGACCUGCGUUGUAUUAGCUAGUAGGUGAGGUAAUGGCUCACCUAGGCGACGAUACAUAGCCGACCUGAGAGGGUGAUCGGCCACACUGGGACUGAGACACGGCCCAGACUCCUACGGGAGGCAGCAGUAGGGAAUCUUCGGCAAUGGGGGCAACCCUGACCGAGCAACGCCGCGUGAGUGAAGAAGGUUUUCGGAUCGUAAAGCUCUGUUGUAAGUCAAGAACGGGUGUGAGAGUGGAAAGUUCACACUGUGACGGUAGCUUACCAGAAAGGGACGGCUAACUACGUGCCAGCAGCCGCGGUAAUACGUAGGUCCCGAGCGUUGUCCGGAUUUAUUGGGCGUAAAGCGAGCGCAGGCGGUUUGAUAAGUCUGAAGUUAAAGGCUGUGGCUCAACCAUAGUUCGCUUUGGAAACUGUCAAACUUGAGUGCAGAAGGGGAGAGUGGAAUUCCAUGUGUAGCGGUGAAAUGCGUAGAUAUAUGGAGGAACACCGGUGGCGAAAGCGGCUCUCUGGUCUGUAACUGACGCUGAGGCUCGAAAGCGUGGGGAGCGAACAGGAUUAGAUACCCUGGUAGUCCACGCCGUAAACGAUGAGUGCUAGGUGUUGGAUCCUUUCCGGGAUUCAGUGCCGCAGCUAACGCAUUAAGCACUCCGCCUGGGGAGUACGACCGCAAGGUUGAAACUCAAAGGAAUUGACGGGGGCCCGCACAAGCGGUGGAGCAUGUGGUUUAAUUCGAAGCAACGCGAAGAACCUUACCAGGUCUUGACAUCCCGAUGCUAUUUCUAGAGAUAGAAAGUUACUUCGGUACAUCGGUGACAGGUGGUGCAUGGUUGUCGUCAGCUCGUGUCGUGAGAUGUUGGGUUAAGUCCCGCAACGAGCGCAACCCCUAUUGUUAGUUGCCAUCAUUCAGUUGGGCACUCUAGCGAGACUGCCGGUAAUAAACCGGAGGAAGGUGGGGAUGACGUCAAAUCAUCAUGCCCCUUAUGACCUGGGCUACACACGUGCUACAAUGGUUGGUACAACGAGUUGCGAGUCGGUGACGGCGAGCUAAUCUCUUAAAGCCAAUCUCAGUUCGGAUUGUAGGCUGCAACUCGCCUACAUGAAGUCGGAAUCGCUAGUAAUCGCGGAUCAGCACGCCGCGGUGAAUACGUUCCCGGGCCUUGUACACACCGCCCGUCACACCACGAGAGUUUGUAACACCCGAAGUCGGUGAGGUAACCUUUUGGAGC